rnacentral:rRNA from 1 species
AAUCCAUUAGCAGCUCUAUCAGUUAUUUCAUUAUUGGCAUUCCUUAACCAAUAGAAAAAGAAAGAGAUCACAAGCGUUAUCAGUCUCCAGACGCAUCUAUCUAUAAAAAGGAGUAGGGCACCUGAUAUGAGAUACAUACUGGAGUCAAGGAUUGAGACCACUAGUGAGAAGGCAAAGAAAUCGUUUUUAUGUAUCGGAAGGGAAAGAAGGACCAUCCAUUGGCAAGCACUUAAGGACAAUGGCUGGAUUAAUGAACUCCGACAACUGCUUUCCCUUGCAGCACGUUGCCAACUAAGCUCUCUUACGUACCAACUGAGCCACUUAUUUACAACGGAAAGGUAAGUCCGUUAGGCACAACUGCAAAUGGAGUUUAUUACCUUAGCAUUCCCAACUGUAAGGGAUUACCUUAGGACAACUGGAAAUGUUUAUUUUAUUUUCCGCUGCUUAGAUCUUUAUUGAUUGAGAGGAACUAUCUACCUCUGUAAUGACAUUUUAUUCGCUUAUUAAUUAGAGUAAUAGUUGUACUCUAUUAUCAAUUUGUUAUUGUGUGCCUCGGCUGAUUCCUGGACGAGGGUUCACGCACAUGUAAGCGUUUGGAAUUUUGGAUAGAAAUUCCGGGCGUGACAACCUUACCAACCCUUGACAUGUGAACAACAAAACCUGUCCUUAACGGGAUGGUACUGACUUUCAUACAGGUGCUGCAUGGCUGUCGUCAGCUCGUGUCGUGAGAUGUUUGGUCAAGUCCUAUAACAAGCGAAACCCUCGUUUUGUGUUGCUGAGACAUGCGCCUAAGGAGAAAUUGUGGUACGUAGUGGUAAUAGUACGUGCCCCGCUCCGAAACAAAGAAAAAGGUGCGUGCCGCACUCACGAGGGACUGCCAGUGAGAUACUGGAGGAAGGUGGGGAUGACGUCAAGUCCGCAUGGCCCUUAUGGGCUAGGCCACACACGUGCUACAAUGGCAAUGACAAUGGGAAGCAAGGCUGUAAGGCGGAGCGAAUCCGGAAAGAUUGCCUCAGUCCGGAUUGUUCUCUGCAACUCGGGAACAUGAAGUUGAAAUCGCUAGUAAUCGCGGAUCAGCAUGCCGCGGUGAAUAUGUACCUGGGCCCUGUACACACCGCCCGUCACACCCUGGGAAUUGGUUUCGCCCGAAGCAUCGGACCAAUGAUCACCCAUGACUUCUGUGUACCACUAGUGCCACAAAGGCCUUUGGUGGUCUUAUGCAUACCACGGUGGGGUCUUCGACUGGGGUGAAGUCGUAACAAGGUAGCCGUAGGGGAACCUGUGGCUG